UUAGAGCGCGAAGUGGUUGAUGCCAUGCUUCCAAGAAAAGCUCCUAAGCUUCAGAUAACUGGGAACCGUACCCCAAACCGACACAGGUGGUUAGGUAGAGAAUACCAAGGCGCUUGAGAGAACUCGGGUGAAGGAACUAGGCAAAAUGGCACCGUAACUUCGGGAGAAGGUGCGCCGGCGAGGGUGAAGGACUUGCUCCGUAAGCCCAUGCCGGUCGAAGAUACCAGGCCGCUGCGACUGUUUAUUAAAAACACAGCACUCUGCAAACACGAAAGUGGACGUAUAGGGUGUGACGCCUGCCCGGUGCCGGAAGGUUAAUUGAUGGGGUUAGCGCAAGCGAAGCUCUUGAUCGAAGCCCCGGUAAACGGCGGCCGUAACUAUAACGGUCCUAAGGUAGCGAAAUUCCUUGUCGGGUAAGUUCCGACCUGCACGAAUGGCGUAACGAUGGCGGCGCUGUCUCCACCCGAGACUCAGUGAAAUUGAAAUCGCUGUGAAGAUGCAGUGUAUCCGCGGCUAGACGGAAAGACCCCGUGAACCUUUACUAUAGCUUUGCACUGGACUUUGAAUUUGCUUGUGUAGGAUAGGUGGGAGGCUUUGAAGUGGGGACGCCAGUUCUCAUGGAGCCAUCCUUGAAAUACCACCCUGGCAACUUUGAGGUUCUAACUCAGGUCCGUUAUCCGGAUCGAGGACAGUGUAUGGUGGGUAGUUUGACUGGGGCGGUCUCCUCCCAAAGAGUAACGGAGGAGUACGAAGGUGCGCUCAGACCGGUCGGAAAUCGGUCGUAGAGUAUAAAGGCAAAAGCGCGCUUGACUGCGAGACAAACACGUCGAGCAGGUACGAAAGUAGGUCUUAGUGAUCCGGUGGUUCUGUAUGGAAGGGCCAUCGCUCAACGGAUAAAAGGUACUCCGGGGAUAACAGGCUGAUACCGCCCAAGAGUUCAUAUCGACGGCGGUGUUUGGCACCUCGAUGUCGGCUCAUCACAUCCUGGGGCUGAAGCCGGUCCCAAGGGUAUGGCUGUUCGCCAUUUAAAGUGGUACGCGAGCUGGGUUUAGAACGUCGUGAGACAGUUCGGUCCCUAUCUGCCGUGGACGUUUGAGAUUUGAGAGGGGCUGCUCCUAGUACGAGAGGACCGGAGUGGACGAACCUCUGGUGUUCCGGUUGUCACGCCAGUGGCAUUGCCGGGUAGCUAUGUUCGGAAGAGAUAACCGCUGAAAGCAUCUAAGCGGGAAACUUGCCUCAAGAUGAGAUCUCACUGGAACCUUGAGUUCCCU
rnacentral:rRNA from 1 species